GGGAGUGGAUGGUGCCCGGUGGUGUCCGCGGUCUUCAAAACCGUUGCGGGGCCGCGUCGCGGUCCCGGGUGGGUUCGACCCCCACGCACUCCCGCCA
rnacentral:tRNA from 1 species